rnacentral:misc_RNA from 1 species
CAGACGGUUCGACGGUGACGGAGUUGGGACUGCUUCCCGCGGCCACGGUCGCGCCCAGACUGGUGAGCACGCCGGUCGCGGGAUUGACCGAGUACGACGAAACGUCGUCGGACGAGGCAUUCGCCACGUACGCGAACCUGCCGGAAGGAUCGAUGGCGACGGCGCGUGGAAGGUCGCCUGUCGCCACGGCGCCGACAUUGGUGAGCGCGCCGGUCGUGUCGUCGAUCGUGUAGUAGAAGACGUUGUCGGACAUGUCGUUCGCCACAUAGGCAAACAUCGGAGUCUCGGUGACAGGGAGCGCGCCCUUGGUCAUGGCCAUCGCCAAAUUGCCACCGCGGCCCGCGAUGGUGAAUCGCGCCGUCAGGACGCCGGUCGUCGGAUUGAUGGUGAAGACCGACAUGGUGUUGUCCCAGAAGUUCAGCACGUAAGCGAAAGAGCCCGAAGGAUCGACGGUCACGGAAAAGGGCUGAGGUCCCGCAGGCAUCGGCGUACCGAGACUGGUGAGUGCGCCCGUCUUGGCAUUGAUGGCAUAGGCCGAGACGUUGUUGGAGCCGAGAUUGGCCACGUAGGCGAAUCUGCCCCCGGGGUCCACGACGAUGGAGUUGGGAGCGGUGCCGGCGGCGACCGGCGCGCCAACUCUCGUGAGCGCACCGGUUGUGGCGCUGAUCCUGUAGACCCAGACAUCGUUUGAGGAGAGAUUCGCGACGUAGGCAUGCGUGCCGGAGGGAUCGAUGGCGAUCGAGUUGGGAUGCGUUCCAGCCGCCACGGCGCCACCGGUGCUCGAGAGCGCUCCGUUCCUGGCGCUGAUCGUGUACACCGAUAUGGUGUUGGAGCCAUAGUUCAAGACGUAGGCGAAACUGCCUGAUGGGUCGACGGUAACGGACGCGGGAAAAAUCCCGGCUGCCACGGGGGAGCCGACACUGGUCAGCGCGCCGGUCGUGGCAUUGAUGGCGAAGGCCGAGACAUCGUUGGAACCGAUGUUCGCAACGUAUGCGACCCGGCCAGAGGGGGCAAUCGUGAUUGAGUUGGGAUUCGUUCCCGCCGGUACCGCCGCGCCGGCGCUGGUGAGGGCCCCGCUCGUGGCGUCGAUGGCGUAAAUCGAGAUGUCGUGGGAACCGCUGUUUGCGACGUAGG